rnacentral:rRNA from 1 species
UUUGCCUUUAUGGCUAAUGUGAGAUGCAGUGUAUGGAAUGUCAAAUCUCUAGUAUGAGAAAUUAAUAAUUUAAGUCCUUCUUAAAUGAGGCCAUUUACCCAUAGAGGGUGCCAGGCCCGUAUAAUAUUAAUGAUUACUAGAUGACAUUUCCAAAGAGUCGUGUUGCUUGAUAGUGCAGCACUAAGUGGGUGGUAAACUCCAUCUAAAACUAAAUAUAACCAUGAGACCGAUAGUAAACAAGUACCGUGAGGGAAAGUUGAAAAGAACUCUGAAUAGAGAGUUAAAUAGUACGUGAAACUGCUUAGAGGUUAAGCCCGAUGAACCUGAAUAUCCAUUGUAGAAAAUUCAUCAUUAUGAUUGCUAAUAUUGAAAAAAUGGUGUGCAUUUUUUCUACAAGGACAUUGUAAUCUAUUAAUAUAAAUAAUUUAUCAAAAGAUCGCGAAAGUUUAUUCAGAUUAUUUUGCUUGCAAUUUAACAUAGAAUAAAUGCUUUUGAUUCGAUAAAGUGUUGAUAGAUUUAUAUAGUGCUUAAAUAAUUUUAUAAUAGCAUAUUAAUUAUUAAUUUUUAUGUAUAUUAUAUGCGCUUAUAUGAUUAACAAUGCGAAAGAUUCGGGAUACCUUCGGGACCCGUCUUGAAACACGGACCAAGGAGUCUAACAUAUUUGCAAGUUAUUGAGUAAACUUAAUAGCGAAAUUAACAUAACUAAAUGGGAUUAGUUUUUAGCUAUUAAUUCAAUCCCGGGGCGUUCUGUACAGUUAUGUAUAAUAAUAUUUAUAUUAUUUAUACCUCUAACUAGAGCGUACCUUGAGCAUAUAUGCUGUGACCCGAAAGAUGGUGAACUAUACUUGAUCAGGUUGAAGUCAGG